rnacentral:lncRNA from 1 species
CCUGCUCCACUUCCUGCGACGGAUACCGUGCGAUUCUCCCAUCCGCUGGUAAAUCACGACAACGGACGCCGCUCCACUCCCCGCGGCAGACUCCACGUGGCACGUCCCGGUGAUAGCCACGGGUCCACUCUACCACUCUGCGCAAUAAAUUCCUCCUGACUACGGACGACCCACUACCAAACGGUUACACACGUCGCCAUCGGUCCGUUACCUCCUCCGCCUAUAAAAAGGGAGGGACCC